ACCUGUGUGGUAACAUUCGAGAGUUAUGUUAGAGGGCAGAGAACAAGAUUAAGGCCUAUAACCAAAUGCAGGUUCACAUAACUUUCAGGAAGUUAUUCAGCGGCUGGUAGGAUGACACAGUGGGUAAAACUCUUGCCCACAAGUCUUGUGACCCGUGUUCAGUCCCCAGGAUCCACAUGGCGCAAGGAUAGAACCAACUUCUACAAGUUGUCCUCUGACCCUCACACACAUUGUGUGGCACAUUCGCAAACACUGAGAAAACAACAACAGCAAUAAAAAAAAAGUCACAAAUGCAAACAGUUAUCCAAAAAGGCUGAACCAAUGCUCACUCAUUGACACUCUCUCCCUUGCUUAGAGGAGCCUAGAAAACCGCAUGAAACAAAAGUGUCACAGUUUUUCUUAGCGGAUUUAUUUCUUUUUUAUUUUAUGUACAUGAGCGAUUCGCCUGCACGUGUGAGUGCACCACCUGUGUGCAGUGCCUGCACAGCCAGAAGGCAGUGUUGGACUCCCUGGGACUGGAGUGACAAAUGGCUGUGAGCCAUUGUGUGGGUGCUGGGAACCAAUCCGGGGCCUCUACAAUGCUGAUACGGAUGUGUUUGCAGACUUUUACUCAUUUUUGAGUAUGGGUCUUCGCCUGCAAGUCUAUCUGAUCACAUGUGUACAGUGCCCACAGAGACCCAGGAGAGGGCAUCAGAGCCCCUAGAACUGGAGUUAUACACAGGUGGUAUACACAGGAGACUCCUUAGAAGGGAGCACCAGACCCCCAACUUCAUCACAACAAUAAAGCAAGUGCAUGGCCUCUUGGAUACAGGCCCCAGGAAUCAGAAAACCUCCCUUAAAACCUCUGGACAGUUCUGUGGUUCAGACUCUCAGCUGUUGCUUCCAGAAGGAAAUAGAAAGUCUUACUCAUUCUUGUUCUCUUGGCUUUGGCUUGGCAGGUGAGCAUGGGAGCAGAAGACGUGAACUGUUGUGUUAGGGUAAAGCUUCUGCACAAGCCCAUCCCCAGACCCAAAGAACAUCGGCCCCGCAGACAGUCACAACAGGUUUUCAUGUUCCUGAACUUUUCCACUCUUGUACUCCCAGGGAAAGAGCCAGUAAAUGGUCCAGAAAUGGAUGUGGAAUCAUUUUUAGCUUCGCAUGGGCUAUUUUGAAUUCAUUUCUUUCAGACAUCACAUUAAUUUUUAAAACUCAAUUUUAAACCAGAAAGUUAUCUCAUUUAUGUUUUAAAGUACUAUUUUAGUAGAACACGUUUUCUGUAUUUCUUUUUAUAUUCCU